AUACGUAGGGGGCGAGCGUUGUCCGGAAUGAUUGGGCGUAAAGGGCGCGUAGGCGGCCCGGUAAGUCUGGAGUGAAAGUCCUGUUUUUAAGAUGGGAAUUGCUUUGGAUACUGUCGGGCUUGAGUGCAGGAGAGGUAAGUGGAAUUCCCAGUGUAGCGGUGAAAUGCGUAGAGAUUGGGAGGAACACCAGUGGCGAUGGCGACUUACUGGACUGUAACUGACGCUGAGGCGCGAAAGUGUGGGGAGCAAACAGGAUUAGAUACCCUGGUAGUCCACACUGUAAACGAUGAAUGCUAGGUGUAGGGGGUAUCGACCCCUUCUGUGCCGCAGUCAACACAAUAAGCAUUCCGCCUGGGGAGUACGGCCGCAAGGUUGAAACUCAAAUGAAUUGACGGGG
rnacentral:rRNA from 1 species